UACAGAGGUCUCAAGCGUUGUUCGGAUUCAUUGGGCGUAAAGGGUGCGUAGGCGGCGCGGUAAGUCGGGUGUGAAAUCUCGGGGCUUAACUCCGAAGCUGCAUUCGAUACUGCCGUGCUUGAGGACUGGAGAGGAGACUGGAAUUUACGGUGUAGCGGUGAAAUGCGUAGAUAUCGUAAGGAAGACCAGUGGCGAAGGCGGGGUCUCUGGACAGUUCCUGACGCUGAGGCACGAAGGCCAGGGGAGCAAACGGG
rnacentral:rRNA from 1 species